rnacentral:rRNA from 1 species
GAUGAACGCUGGCGGCGUGCCUAAUACAUGCAAGUCGAGCGAACAGACGAGGAGCUUGCUCCUCUGACGUUAGCGGCGGACGGGUGAGUAACACGUGGAUAACCUACCUAUAAGACUGGGAUAACUUCGGGAAACCGGAGCUAAUACCGGAUAAUAUAUUGAACCGCAUGGUUCAAUAGUGAAAGACGGUUUUGCUGUCACUUAUAGAUGGAUCCGCGCCGCAUUGGCUAGUUGGUAAGGUAACGGCCUACCAAGGCAAGGAUGCGUAGACGACCUGAGAGGGUGAUCGCCCACACUGGAACUGAACCACGGUCCAGACUCCUACGGGAGGCAGCAGACGGGAAUGUUCCGCAAUGGGCGAAAGCCUGACGGAGCAACGGCGCGUGAGUGAUGAAGAUCUUCGGAUCGUAAAACUCUGUUAUUAGGGAAGAACAAAUGUGUACGUAACUAUGGACGUCUUGACGGUACCUAGUCAGAAAGCCACGGCUAACUACGUG